AAUGAAAUGAGCUUGGAGCGCUCCGGCAUUCAGUAGGCUGAAGAAAUGUUCCCCCGGUGUCGGUUUAGAACUCGAACCUGGUGGGCGGAGAGUGACAGUGCAACAGACCGCCAGCUCGUUAGUCGCUUUCGGUGCCUCGAUGGCGGAUCGGCGUGCCUCGAUGCACGGCACCAGGCGGAAGCAGUUCCAUCUCCGAGCGGCGAGCGUAUAUAAAGUUUUGGGCGCGGGAGCUGUGUCCUCCCAUCCCAACCAAGUUAACCGCCAUGGGGAACAAGAAGAAGAAGAGGAUGGAGAAGGCGCGGAGCGCGGCGCGGCAGCAGGUGGGCAAGCUCUACAUCAUCGCCGCCUGCGUCGCGCUGCUCCUCUGCGGCGGCGGCAGCCACCAAAAGCGCAAGAAACAGGGUAAGAGCAGCAAGAACUAAGUAGGGCUAGCUGCUCAGUCGGCACGUACGGCCGAGAAAGUACAACAUGGCCGUACGUGUGCCACUUGAGCAAAAGCCGGUGUCAUCUCAUGCUUAUGGGCUAUCGCACGUACGGCUGGACACACAUGUGAUGAAACCAGAACAGGAAUGCUGGUAUAUUUUAAGUAGAUGUUGAUGUUAGGUAGGAUUGAUUCAUAUAUUACCUAUAAUGAGGUAAUAAUAUAUAUUUAGUAUGACUUGAGAGCCGGAAAGGUGUUUCCCAUCCAUCAUAUCUUUUCUUUGUUUUGGCUGCUGGAUACAAAAUAUAUUUAUUUUUUAGUAUAAAUUUGUAAGGAUAUCUUAAUCUUUAAUUAAUUAGAAGAUUCUAUUGAGAAUUGGACAACACUUGCAUUGGAUGAAUGCUGAUUAAU